CCUACGGAGGCAGCAGUGGGGAAUAUUGGACAAUGGGCGCAAGCCUGAUCCAGCCAUGCCGCGUGAGUGAUGAAGGCCUUAGGGUUGUAAAGCUCUUUUACCAGGGAAGAUAAUGACGGUACCUGGAGAAUAAGCCCCGGCUAACUUCGUGCCAGCAGCCGCGGUAAUACGAAGGGGGCUAGCGUUGCUCGGAAUCACUGGGCGUAAAGCGCACGUAGGUGGGUCGUUAAGUCGGGGGUGAAAUCCUGGAGCUCAACUCCAGAACUGCCUUCGAUACUGGCGAUCUUGGAGUCCGGGAGAGGUGAGUGGAACUGCGAGUGUAGAGGUGAAAUUCGUAGAUAUUCGCAAGAACACCAGUGGCGAAGGCGGCUCACUGGCCCGGUACUGACACUGAGGUGCGAAAGCGUGGGGAGCAAACA
rnacentral:rRNA from 1 species